rnacentral:lncRNA from 1 species
CUCCAGUUUGAUCAAUGUAAAGAUUCGUGCUUGUCUCUUAGGUGUAUAUUCGUGUCUCUACUAUGCGUUUCUCUGUUUCUGCUAGAUCUUAUGGCAAAAUCUGGCCAUGUGCCCUUGUUUCCUACACUGAAAACAUGUGUUUGUCCAUAAAAGACAAACUCCUAGAUUGUAAUGACCCGGGUCUCUGUACCCAAGCCAUUAGCUUACAUACUGUCCGCUUUGGGUGGACCUUGCGCCCACUUACCCCUCACGGCUUUCUGUCGCGUCCCUCAGGAUUCGAACUCAUAACCUUUUCCUUAAGUAAUCUUCCCUUAAGUAAGACUUAAGUUGAAUCUUAGUACAGACAGAUUCAAGUUGCUAGAACAAAGAUAUGGUAAAAGAGUUUGCAGAUCUUG